UACGGAGGGUGCGAGCGUUGUCCGGAAUCAUUGGGCGUAAAGGGCGCGUAGGUGGCCCGGUCAGUCAGUGGUGAAAGCGCGGGGCUCAACUCCGCGUCGGCCAUUGAUACUGCUGGGCUUGAGCACUGUAGAGGCAGGCGGAAUUCCGGGUGUAGCGGUGGAAUGUGUAGAGAUCCGGAAGAACACCGGUGGCGAAGGCGGCCUGCUGGGCAGUAGCUGACACUGAGGCGCGACAGCGUGGGGAGCAAACAGG
rnacentral:rRNA from 1 species